GUACCUACCUGUCAGGGGAGAUAACAUGAUCAGGAAGGUGUCCCCCCCCCCCCCACCCCCGUGAGACUUAUCUGUUGCAUUUGAGAUGUGCUGAUUCCUGUUGAUUUCCCCUAAUGCAGGAAAUUUGUCUGCAUAAUUUGUGGUAGUGGGGGGCUACAUGUAACUCUUC